rnacentral:rRNA from 1 species
AGCGAACGCUGGCGGCAGGCCUAACACAUGCAAGUCGGACGAACUCUUCGGAGUUAGUGGCGGACGGGUGAGUAACACAUGGGAACGUGCCUUUAGGUUCGGAAUAACUCAGGGAAACUUGUGCUAAUACAGAAUGUGCCCUUCGGGGGAAAGAUUUAUCGCCUUUAGAGCGGCCCGCGUCUGAUUAGCUAGUUGGUGGGGUAAUGGCACACCCAGGCUACGAUCAGUAGCUGGUCUGAGAGGAUGACCAGCCACAUUGGGACUGAGACACGGCCCAAACUCCUACGGGAGGCAGCAGUGGGGAAUCUUGCGCAAUGGGCGAAAGCCUGACGCAGCCAUGCCGCGUGGAUGAUGAAGGUCUUAGGAUUGUAAAAUCCUUUCACCGGUGAAGAUAAUGACUGUAGCCGGAGAAGAAGCCCCGGCUAACUUCGUGCCAGCCGCCGCGGUAAAAC